GAUGAAGAACGCAGCGAAAUGCGAUAAGUAAUGUGAAUUGCAGAAUUCAGUGAAUCAUCGAAUCUUUGAACGCACAUUGCGCCCGCCAGUAUUCUGGCGGGCAUGCCUGUUCGAGCGUCAUUUCAACCCUCAAGACCCCUUCGGGGGACUUGGUGUUGGGGACCGGCUGUUCCCGGCCUGCUUCUUGCAGCGCCUUUAUGCCGCCCCCGAAAUGAAUUGGCGGCCUCGUCGCGGCCUCCCCUGCGUAGUAGCACAACCUCGCAACGGGAACGUGACGGCGGCCACUGCCGUAAAACAACCCAAUUUUAUUAGAGUUGACCUCGAAUCAGGUAGGAAUACCCGCUGAACUUAAGCAUAUAAAAGCGGAGGA
rnacentral:misc_RNA from 1 species